rnacentral:tRNA from 1 species
UCCCUGGUAGUCCAGUGGUUAAGACUUUGCCUUCCAAUGCAGGGCGUGCAGGUUCAAUCCCUGGUCAGGGAG